rnacentral:rRNA from 1 species
UACAGAGGGUGCGAGCGUUAUCCGGAAUUAUUGGGCGUAAAGCGUCCGCAGGUGGCAAUUCAAGUCUGCUGUCAAAGGUUCUGGCUCAACCAGGAACAGGCAGUGGAAACUGAAUAGCUAGAGUGCGGUAGGGGCAGAGGGAAUUCCCAGUGUAGCGGUGAAAUGCGUAGAGAUUGGGAAGAACACCGGUGGCGAAAGCGCUCUGCUAGGCCAAAACUGACACUGAGGGACGAAAGCUAGGGGAGCGAAUGGG